UGACUUUCCUUAUGAAGCGAGACCUCAACAUGGAGCAAAGUACUUCCGCUCUCUCUAUGAAGUGGGAGAAGAAGUGGGAUCGGGAGACUAUGUAGUCGGUGUCUAUGAAGGAAUUAGAAGAUCGGAUGGCCAGAGGGUGCUCAUCAAAUUUGUGAAGAUGCACUGGCCUGGGAAAACAUCGGAGUUGGAUGAGUUUCUCAAACCUAUGUGUGAAGAGGCAACUACGAUGUUGAUGCUGCAAAGGCCUCCGUUCUGCGACCAUGUCAUACAGUUAUAUGACUGGUUUAUCAUGGAGGAACAGAAUGUCUUGAUAAUGGAAAAUCCGCAUCCCUGUGUGACCUUGUUUAAGUUCAUCAAAAAGAACAGAGGUCACCUGAGUGAAGAAAAGGCAAGACUCAUCAUGUGGCAGCUCGCCGUUGCUCUGCGUCACUGCUGGGAUCGUGGUAUUUUUCAUGAAACAGAUCUGAGUAAUAUUCUCAUCAACACGGACACCCAGCAGUUAAAGAUAAUGGACUUUAGAUACGCAGGGCACAUCAUAAAAAACCGAAGUGAAUAAGCUUAUUUAGAGGCAAGGCUCAGAGUGCCUGCUAAAUUGCAAGCAGCUGAAAACUUAUACUUUGUGCUGGAUGCGCUCAUCGAAACAAUAAGACAUCCGUGUUGGAAAAAAGCACACCUGUCCAGAGAAUGCACAGAUCUUCUUCGGAAACUUGGGCAUGGAGGGCCAUCAGCGAUUGACACCUUAGAGAACAUCUUAGAUCAUGCCUGGUUUAGAGACUUCUCCACAGUGAAUGAAGGAGAAGGAAACUGAUCAAUGUUCUUUUGAUCGAUUCUGGCCUUUGAAAUCAGAAAGAGCUCUUUUCAAUUCAAAACCGAAGUUUAUUUUCAUGCUCGCAUUGUUUGACUGGUAGACAGACGUUCUCUUCCUCUCUUCCAGCCCUGCAGCUGAGCCUCAGGUGAGAUGUUAGUACCCCAGCACUUCUCCGCUCUCUUCAUCCAGAGCCAGAAGCUGCUCUGUUCAGCCUCUUCAGCAGCUCUGGGCUUAGAACGGCUCCUUUAUUCCAGUGAUCCACAAAUUAAUGUGAAGAGAUUCACAAACACAGCUCUGCCAGGCAUUCAUUUGCCAAUCGUUUCUUGUGCAUUUGUGCAUCGCAGCGUGCAUCUGUGUAUUUUGAAACAUUUCUAGCAUCAAGAUGUACACACAAAUCCACAGACAGGUGGACUCUACUGCGGGCCAAUCAUAGCACGUUCUCACUACAACCAAUCAGGUGUUGCUUUACAGGCGGGCGGUCUCCCUGAAAUAACUUUGCUCAUUACACUAGCUCAGGUAGGAAUUAUAAGAUCCAUAAGAAGUGGUACAGUAAAAGAUACUUAACAUUUAGAUUUCGUUAGCCACAGUAUUGUUUUAAUCGCCUUUGAAGAUAUUAGAGAAAUAGCGCUUUGCGUCUCUUUAUGGGAACACUGGAUCGAAAGCGUCACAUAAUUCAAGACGGAACAGACUAAUAAAUAACUCGAUUCAUUUAAUAGAUGAAAUUACUGUCCCACAACAGCAUUUCUCAGUCC